UACGUAGGGUGCGAGCGUUAAUCGGAAUUACUGGGCGUAAAGCGUGCGCAGGCGGCUUCGCAAGUCAGGCGUGAAAUCCCCGGGCUUAACCUGGGAAUGGCGUCUGAAACUACGUGGCUCGAGUGUGGCAGAGGAAGGUGGAAUUCCACGUGUAGCGGUGAAAUGCGUAGAGAUGUGGAGGAACACCGAUGGCGAAGGCAGCCUUCUGGGCCAACACUGACGCUCAUGCACGAAAGCGUGGGGAGCAAACAGG
rnacentral:rRNA from 1 species